rnacentral:lncRNA from 1 species
AAGAACCAACAGAAAUCUGCACUGUGUUUUUCCUCUCAAAACUUUUAAUAUUCUCAACAACUACAUUAGGACUUCCAAGUCUUCAAAAUGUCAUUGCCUCUAUGAAGACAAACAUGGCGGGAAACCGACGAUUAAAUGAAUAAAUUAUCCAUAAACGUACAAUAGACGAAGAUGCCAGCUUCCAAGUUGUUUCCUUGGCAUCAAACAAUGACAUCAAUAAACAAAACUUGGACGUCAGAGCCUUUGUUUGUCUAUGCAUGAAUAUUCAGAUUCUCAAUUAGAGAAAUGGUUUCCUUAAUCUUCAAUUAGAGAAAUGGUUUCCUUAGUAUUACUUGCAGGCAAAGAUAAAAUUCCAUAUAAUUAAAGAUUUUACUCAAAAUUCCACAGCAUAUUUAGGAGAACUUCAUUCAAAAUUCUUGGAAAAUCACAAUCAAAAACCCAAGAGCUCUCUCUCUUUUAUCCCUCUCUAACAAGAUCAAAAACUCCAAUUUCUCUUCACCAAAAUACUAAUAUAUGACUAAAAAACUAGCUGUAUUUCCUCAAUUCAAUAAAAAAACUCAUAACUAAUGCUUCUGUUCCUAACUGCAAAACUUAUAGGCAUGUAAAAUUGAGAGUUUCAUCAACAAAAGCAAGAGCAUCAAGUUCAAUGUUUGGAAGAUCCAUCACCCCGUCACAGGGAAAACUCACCUCACUGCUUUCAGCCAUAUAGAAAUCUUCUACAUCAUUCACACCGUCAAAAAAAUGCUCAAAAUCAUUCCCGAAGUGCAAGUAGUAGUCACCACCCAGCAAUUCUUGACUAACCGAUGGCGAUAGCGCUGACUCAUCCCAUAAAUUAGAUAUAGAAUGUUCUUCUUCCACCAUUUUUCUCUCGGUGCAUUCUUUGACUGCCUGUUCCGCACUGCUCUCAUCUCUAAUCGAACAUUCAACUCCAUGACUA